GCAGCGCACUCCUACGGGAGGCAGCAGUGGGGGAAUAUUGCACAAUGGGCGCAAGCCUGAUGCAGCCAUGCCGCGUGUAUGAAGAAGGCCUUCGGGUUGUAAAGUACUUUUCAGCAGUGAGGAAGGUGGGUAUGUUAAUAGCAUAUUCAUUUGACGUUUAGCUGCAGAAGAAGCACCGGCUAACUCCGUGCCAGCAGCCGCGGUAAUACGGAGGGUGCGAGCGUUAAUCGGAAUUACUGGGCGUAAAGCGCAUGCAGGUGGUUUGUUAAGUCAGAUGUGAAAGCCCGGGGCUCAACCUCGGAAUUGCAUUUGAAACUGGCAAACUAGAGUACUGUAGGAGGGGGUAGAAUUUCAGGUGUAGCGGUGAAAUGCGUAGAGAUCUGAAGGAAUACCGGUGGCGAAGGCCGGCCCCCUGGACAGAUACUGACACUCAGAUGCGAAAGCGUGGGGAGCAAACAGGAUUAGAUACCCUGGUAG
rnacentral:rRNA from 1 species